UGGCCUGAAAUGAUUAGGUUUUAAAGUUUGUGCCCUUUUCUGACAUUUUUUUCUGGAGAUAGUUUUUUGCCUUACUGACCUGAUUAGGCUG